CUCCCCCCGCAUCGCUAUGUCCCUUGUGAAGUGCUUCUCACCAGAUUCUCAGAGAUUCGCUUCCCUUUGUUCCCGAUCAAAAUGCAGUCACCUGAUUUGGAAAUGCGGUACUGAAAGGUCCACAUACAGUGCCCUGGCGCCCUGUUACCAUCAAUUCUGUUGGAACCAGUUCAGAUCGGUUGCAACCAGUCCAAGCCAGUUGGAACUAGCUGAAACCAGUUGGGAAAAGUCCAUGUGGGUUCCAACUCGCCCAGACCAGUUUGAACUGGCCCAGACUGGUUGGAACUGGCUCAGAUUGCUUGGAACAGGUCUAGGCUGGUUUGAACCGGUCCAAGUCAGUUGGAACAGGUCCAAGCCGGUUGGAACCAGUCUAGGCCAGUAUGAACCGGUCUAGGCAGGUUUCUGCCGGUCCAAGCCAGUUUGAACCGGUCAAGGCAGGUUUGUACCGGUCUAGGCUGGUUUGAACCGGUCCAAACCGGUUGGAACUGGUCUAGGCCAGUUUGAACAAGUCUAGGCCAGUUGGUUCCGGUCCAAGCCGGUUUCAACUGGUCUAGGUCGGUUUGAACCGGUCCAGGCUGGUUUCUGCUGGUCCGAGCCGGUUUGAAGAGGUCUAGGCCGGUUGGAACAGCUCUGUGUCACUUGGAAGCAGCCCAAACCUGCUGGGUGUUGGAAAACAAGGCCCCUCGAGAGAGGCUGGCCCCCCUCGUCGGUUCCCGGAGCUUGUUUACCGGUGAUCUGCCCUGGCUGGCAUCCCCGCAGUCAAGGAAGAUCUUGAUAGGCGACAUUUCCCAGCCUGGAAAAUGCACACCCCCUCCCUCCUUGCUUCCCUAGCAGGGAAAGGAGAUAGUCAGAAAGUCUAUUUACAUCUCUUUAUUUCUGACUUUGCAUCACUACAGAAAACAUUUCCGAAGAGUUCAGUGUUCAGCAAGCAAGUGACAAAGACUUCCUUCACAUACGCAACAGGAAGGUCUCAUAUUACACACUGCACAAAUCUUUGUGAAGCCUGUGAACUUCCGGGAAGAUUCUUUCCCACAGCUAGCCACAUCAUGUGAUGUUUUCACCAAGCUGCAAGUUUGCAGCUGCGUUGCUCUCAUAUCGUAACAUCCUCCCCCAUAUGAAUCAACGUUAGCUGCGAACAAAGCUUGAUCCAGAGAAGAAAACAAACAAUUGUUAUACACGUAACAAUCCCCUGUUGUUUCAGUUCCACCCUUGGAACUACCCGCCACUGGUUUCACCAAUGUAACUCUCUGGUUGUCUGUUUUCCAAGGAAUGAGUGCAUCUGCAUUACCUUGGCUAGGGAAGGUAGUGUUACGCUUAGCAACUCCCUGUCGUGUCUUUGUCUCUGACUUAGACACACUUUUUACCAGGCUUGAGUUGUCAACAAUAGUAACACAUGCAACAGCUGAAUUAGCAAACUCUUGAGAAUACCUCUUGGGUGGUACGCCCUUUGUGAUUCUCUCAGACCUGCGAAUGAGGUGCUGAUCCUCUCUGCUGACUGGUUCAUCUUCAGGACCUUUUGGAGAACCAGUUCCAACAGUAAACAGUGGUGCAACCUUAACCUGUGAAGGUCUAGCCAUUAUGUGUGAACCUCUCUCAAUGACUGUGUCAACAGAACUUCCUGAGCUUUCUGUGUCACUCUCAGUACCAGAAUAAUCAGAAUCAUCAUAAUCAUCAUCUGAAUUGUCAUCAGUGGGAAAUGUGUGAAAAACCUCUGUCUCCUGUCUCGGAGUGCUCUCUAAAAACUUUGUGAGAAUCACCUGACCAGAUUCAGACAAAAUUACUCUGUAGAGACCCUUUUCAUAACCCACAAAAAUGCCUCUGGCAUUCUUUAUCCCAUCUGGAGUUUCUGUCCGGAUGUGAGAUCCAAAAACCUUAAAAUGCAUUAUAGAAGGUUUCCUGUGGAAUAGCCUCUCAAAAGGAGAACGUUCCAUACCUUUUGAAACCUUUCUCACCCAAGUAUAACAAAAUGCCAAUAAAGAUUCAGCCCAAUACUCAUGUGGCAAAUGUGAACUCAGCAAUUGUGCAUUCAUGCCAUUUUUCAACUCUUUGUUCACCUUUACACACACACUUUUGUUCCAUGCAGCUUCUGAGACAGCAAUCUUAUGCUCUAUCCCUUGUCUUUUGAGGAAAUCCUGAAAAUCCUGUGAAAGAAAAAUUGGCUUCUCAUCUGUGAAAAGAUAAUCUAUAUUAGCAUCAUGAACCUUAUCCUCUUAACCUUAUCACAAAAAUCCUUAAACCUUGCUAAGGUUUCUCUGGGUGAUUCCAAUAUAUAUGACUGAACCCAAAGGGUGCUCAUCAAUGGUUCCUCUUCAUCCUGGAGAAGAGUGACUAGUGGGGUGCCACAGGGUUCUGUCUUGGGCCUGGUCUUAUUCAACAUCUUUAUCAACGACUUGGAUGAUGGACUCAAGGGCAUCCUGAUCAAAUUUGCAGAUGACACCAAACUGGGAGGGGUGGCUAACACCCCAGAGGACAGAAUCACACUUCAAAACGACCUUGACAGAUCAGAGAACUGGGCCAAAACAAACAAGAUGAACUUUAACAGGGAGAAAUGUAAAGUAUUGCACUUGGGCAAAAAAAAAUGAGAGGCACAAAUACAAGAUGGGUGACACCUGGCUUGAGAGCAGUACAUGUGAAAAGGAUCUAGGAGUCUUGGUUGACCACAAACUUGACAUGAGCCAACAGUGUGACGUGGCAGCUAAAUAAGCCAAUGCAAUUCUGGGCUGCAUCAAUAGGAGUAUAUCAUCUAGAUCAAGGGAAGUAAUAGUGCCACUGUAUUCUGCUCUGGUCAGACCUCACCUGGAGUACUGUGUCCAGUUCUGGGCACCACAGUUCAAGAAGGACACUGACAAACUGGAACGUGUCCAGAGGAGGGCAACCAAAAUGGUCAAAGGUCUGGAAACGAUGCCUUAUGAGGAACGACUAAGGGAGCUGGGCAUGUUUAGCCUGGAGAAGAGGAGGUUAAGGGGUGAUAUGAUAGCCAUGUUCAAAUAUAUAAAAGGAUGUCAUAUAGAGGAGGGAGAAAGGUUGUUUUCUGCUGCUCCAGAGAAGCAGACACGGAGCAAUGGAUCCAAACUACAAGAAAGAAGAUUCCACCUAAACAUUAGGAAGAACUUCCUGACAGUAAGAGCUGUUCGACAGUGGAAUUUGCUGCCAAGGAGUGUGGUGGAGUCUCCUUCUUUGGAGGUCUUUAAGCAGAGGCUUGACAACCAUAUGUCAGGAGUGCUCUGAUGGUGUUUCCUGCUUGGCAGGGGGUUGGACUCGAUGGCCCUUGUGGUCUAUUCCAACUCUAUGAUUCUAUAUAGCCAUACAUAUUGAGAAUAGUGAUCAACAAAUACAAGGUAGUAUUUUGAAUUGCCUCUAGAUGGUGCUAGAGGACCAAUUACAUCAGCAUACACUCGCUGAAAAACACAGGUAAUCUUAGGUGCCUUUUUAUCCUUGGCUCCGUCUGAUAUACCUGCAAGAGAAAGCAUUUUAGACUCACAUGCAGUACAACUUUUGUAAUCAUUCUUAUCAAAAGUUAAGAGAUACAGUCCGUCUUUCUCUCUGGCAGAAAGAUACAGUUCUCCAUCUUUAAAGAUUUUGCAACUCUGCUUAUCAUAGGACAACACCAGUCCUUUCUUUGUCAUCUGAGAUACACUCAACAGAUUGAACUUUAAAUCAGGAACAAAAUACACAUUGUUUAUAGUCAAGUUUAGGCUUUCCAAAUAUACAGUCCCGAUCCCUGUCGCUUCCAUCUCCUGGCCAUUGGCCUGUUUCACAGUGAAGCGUUGCUUCUCAAACGUAGAAAACAAUUCCCGGCGGGAUGCCAUGUGCUGGGUCGCUCCCGUGUCCAAAACAAAUGCGUUUUCCACCGAAAACGUAUCAUAUCGUAACACUGGGACCCGUUCAUACUGGUUGGUUCCGGUCCAAGCCAGUAGGAACCAGCCCAAAGCAGUUUGAAAAAGUCCAGGUGGAUUCCAAGUUCCCAAGACUGGUUUGAACGGGUGGAACAGGUCCAAGCCGGUUGGAACCGGUUCAGACUGGUUGGAAUCGGUCCAAGCCGGUUUGAACCAGCUGAAACCAAUUGGGAAAAGUCCAGGCAGGUUCCAACUUGCCCACACCAGUUUGAAAUACCCCAGACUCGUUGGAACUGGCUCAGACUGCUUGGAACAGGUCUAGGCUGGUUUGAACCGGUCCAGGUCCAGGUCCAAGUCGGUUGAAACAGGUCCAAGUCGGUUGGAAUCGGUUUAGGCCACUUUGAACCGUUCUAAGCCGGUUUAUGCCGGUACAAGCCAGUUUGAACCGGUCUUGGCUGGUUUGAAUAGGUCUAGGCAAGUUUGAAAUGCCCCAAGCCAGUUUGAGCAGUUCUAAGUGGGUUGAAACUGGCCCAGACAGGUUGGAGUAGGUUCAGGCCAGUUGGAGCAGGUGCAGGUCAUUUGAAACUGAAUUUGACCGGUUCAAACCAGCAUAGAGCAGUUCAAACCGGCUUCAACCGGCACUAAUCAGCUUGGACUGGUUCAAACCAGUCUAGACCUCUUCCAAACAGUCUGAGCUAGUUCCAACCUGUCUGGGCCAGUUCAAAUUGGUCUGGGCAAGUUGGAACCCGCCUGGACCUUUUCCAAAUGCUUUGGGCUGGUUCCAACUGGCUUGGGCUGGAUCCAACUGGUAUGAAAUGAUUGCAACAGGUCUGGGCUGGUUCCAAGCGACAUAGACCUGUUCCAACCAGCCUGGACCUGUUGUAACCAGCUUGGUCCAGUUUCAAAUGACCUGGACCAGCUCCAACUGUCCUGGACCUGCUCCAAACUGUCUGGGCCAGUUCCAACCCACUUAGAACUGUUCAAUCCGACCAAGACCGGUUCAAACCUGCCUUGACCGAUUGAAACCGGUUUGGACCGGCACAAACCUAUCUAGACCUGUUAAAACCGGCCUAGACAGGUUCCAACCAGCUUGGACCUGUUUCAACCGAAUUGGACUGGUUCAAACCACCCUAGACCUGUUCCAACCAGUCUGGGCCAGUUCCAACUGGUCUGUGCAAAUUGAAAACCACCUGGGCCUUUCCCAACUGCUUUGGGCUGGUUCCAACCGGCAUGGACCAGACCCAACUGGUAUGAACUGGUUCCAACUGGGCUGCACUGGUCCCAAGCGAAAUAGUCCUGUACCAACCGGCCUGGACCUGUUCUAACCAGCUGGGCCAGUUUCAAAUGACCUGCACCUGCUCCAACUGGCCUGGACCUGCUCCAACCUAUCUGGGCCAGUUCCAACCCACUUGGAACUGCUCAAACUGGCUUGGGCCAUUUCAAACUGGCCUAGACCUGUUCAAAUGGGCCUAGACCGGUACAAACCAGCCAAGACCGGUUCAAACCGGCUUGGACUGGCACAAACUGGCUUAGACAGGUUCAAACGGGCCAAGACCGGUUUUAACUGGCUUGGACCUGUUUCAACCGACUUGGACCGGUUCAAACCAGCCCAGACCUGUUUCAACCAGUCUGAGGUCUAGGCUGGUUUGAACAGGCCCAAGCCAGUUUGAACAGUUCCAGACAGCUUCAAGCAGGUCCAGGCCGGUUGGAACAGGUGGAUGUCAUUUGAAACUUGCGCAAGCUGGUUAGAUUUGGCCUACCGGAAGGGCGUGGACUUAAUGUGGAACAUUUUCGAUGAUUUUGAUGAUCUGAGGAUUUCUUUCCCAAAUUAAGUCACAAUUUGGUCAUCACUGUUGGAAAGGUGCACUUGGAGGGACUGCCGAUGCUCUAUUGGUAUGAACAAAUCCAGAAAGAUUCUGGAACGCUCAGUGGCUCGAAGAGUGGCAGCGCUGGGGGGGGGGACAUUGACCACCCCAACAUCCAGUUCAGCAAGGUGACCCUCUACCACGAGGAUGGCGUGCAUCCUUCCACUGCGGGAAACGAUGUUUGGUUGGCUGACAGAUCUGCGGGGAUUAGGGAUUGGUUGCAGGUCUGAGGGUAUUGGCGGUGAGCUUUGCUCGAGUGGCGGUUAGGCAUUGGUAUGGGUAUUGUUAUGUAGAUGUAUGGGGGGGGGAGGAGCGCCAUCACCUCCCCCGGAUAUUGAAGGGUAGUCCGAUAAAGGAUUCUGGCGGGCAUGGCCCCGUCUGAAGCCUAUGGAGGCCACGGCCCAAGGCACGCCCCCGAGCAGUGACCCUGAGGGAGUGCCUAGUUGAUGUGCAUCAGCAGGGCUCCCCCUGCUGGUGUUAACCCUUCCGGAUUUUCAAGCAAGCAGGCUGAAGCCAGAUAGUCUGAUAGGUGGGAGGUGGGAACUCGUCACGCAACCUGGCUUGGCCAAUUCAGCUCACAAUGCGUUCUCAAAGUCUCUGGGGUCAGUUUGACACCAUAGUCCCCUGAGAAAGCCCUUUUGAAAUUUGCUAUCAUACAGCCUGGUGGAGUGCUUGAAUUACAAGCUGUUGAACACUCCCCCCGCAUCGCUAUGUCCCUUGUGAAGUGCUUCUCACCAGAUUCUCAGAGAUUAGCUUCCCUUUGUUCCCGAUCAAAAUGCAGUCACCUGAUUUGGAAAUGCGGUACUGAAAGGUCCACAUUCAGUGCCCUGGCACCCUGUUACCAUCAAUUCUGUUGGAACCAGUUCAGAUCAGUUGGAACCAGUCCAAGCCAGUUGGAACCAGCUGAAACCAAUUGGGAAAAGUCCAUGUGGGUUCCAACUCGCCCAGACCAGUUUGAACUGGCCCAGACUGGUUGGAACUGGCUCAGAUUGCUUGGAACAGGUCUAGGCUUGUUUGAACCGGUCCAGGUCGUUUGAAACAGGUCCAAGCCAGUUGGAACCGGUCUAGACCAGUAUGAACCGGUCUAGGCAGGUUUGAGCCAGUACAAGCCAGUUUGAACCGGUCUUGGCUGGUUUGAAAGCAGGCCUCAAGCCAGUUUGAGCAGUUCCAAGUGGCUUGGAAUUGGCCUGUUCAAACUGGCCUAGACCGGUACAAAACAGCCAAGACCAGUUCAAACCGGCUUGGACUGGCACAAACUGGCUUAGACCGGUUCAUACUGGCCUAGACCGGUUCCAACCGGCUUGGACCUGUUUCAACUGACCUGGACCGGUUCAAACCAGCCUAGACCUGUUUCAAGCAGUCUGAGGUCUAGGAUGGUUUGAAGAGGCUCAAGCAAGUUUGAACAGUUCCAGACAGCUUCAAGCAGGUCCAGGCCGGUUGGAACAGAUGGAUGUCAUUUGAAACUGGCCCAGGCUGGUUAGUUUUGGCCUACCGGAAGGGCGUGGACUUAAUGUGGAACAUUUUCGAUGAUUUUGAUGAUCUGAGGAUUUCUUUCCCAAAUUUAGUCAUAAUUUGGUCACCACUGUUGGAAAGGCGCACUUGGAGGGACUGCCGAUGUCCUAUUGCUAUAAACAAAUCCAGAAAGAUUCUGGAACGCUCAGUGGCUCGAAGAGUGGCAGCGCUGGGGGGGCGGGACAUUGACCAGCCCAACAUCCAGUUCAGCAAGGUGACCCUCUACCACGAGGAUGGCGUGCCUCUUUCCAAUGCGGGAAACAAUGUUUGGUUGGCUGACAUAUCUGCGGGGAUUAGGGAUUGAAUCAUAGAAUCAUAGAAUCAUAGAGUUGGAAGAGACCACAAGGGCCAUCGAGUCCAACCCCUGCCAAGCAGGAAACAGCAUCAGAGCACUCCUGACAUAUGGUUGUCAAGCCUCUGCUUAAAGACCUCCAAAGAAGGAGACUCCACCACACUCCUUGGCAGCAAAUUCCACUGUCGAACAGCUCUUACUGUCAGGAAGUUCUUCCUAAUGUUUAGGUGGAAUCUUCUUUCUUGUAGUUUGGAUCCAUUGAUUGGUUGCAGGUCUGUGGGUAUUGGCGGCGAGCUUUGCUCAAGUGGCGGUUAGGCAUUGGUAUGGGUAUUGUUAUGUAGAUGUUUGGGAGGAGGAGUGCCAUCACCUCCCCCGGAUAUUGAAGGGUAGUCCGAUAAAGGAUUCUGGGGAGCAUGGCCCCGUCUGAAGCCUAUGGAGGCCAGGGCUCAAGGCACCACCCCCCCCCCCCCGAGCAGUGACCCUGGGGGAGUGCCUAGUUGAUGUGCAUCAGCAGGGCUCCCCUGCUGGUGUUAACCCUUCCGGAUUUUCAAGCAAGCAGGCUGAAGCCGGAUAGUCAGAUAGGUGGGAGGUGGGAACUCGCCACGCAACCUGGCUUGGCCAAUUCAGCUCACAAUGCAUUCUCAAAGUCUCUGGGGUCAGUUUGACACCACAGUCCCCUGAGAAAGCCCUUUUGAAAUUUGCUAUCUUACAGCCUGGUGGAGUGCUUGAAUUACAAGCUGUUGAACACUCCCCCCGCAUUGCUAUGUCCCUUUUGAAGUGCUUCUCACCAGAUUCUCAGAGAUUCGCUUCCCUUUGUUCCCGAUCAAAAUGCAGUCACCUGAUUUGGAAAUGCGGUACUGAAAGGUCCACAUUCAGUGCCCUGGCGCCCUGUUACCAUCAAUUCUGUUGGAACCAGUUCAGAUCAGUUGGAACCAGUCCAAGCCAGUUGGAACCAGCUGAAACCAAUUGGGAAAAGUCCAUGCGGGUUCCAGCUUGCCCAGACCAGUUUGAACUGGCCGAGACUGGUUGGAACUGGCUCAGAUUGCUUGGAACAGGUCUAGCCUUGUUUGAACGGGUCCAGGUCGGUUGAAACAGGUCCAAGCCGGUUGGAACCGGUCUAGGCCAGUAUGAACCGGUCUAGGCAGGUUUGAGCCAGUACAAGCCAGUUUGAACCGGUCUUGGCUGGUUUGAAUAGGUCUAGGCCGGUUUGAAACGGCCCAAGCCAGUUUGAGCAGUUCCAAGUGGGUUGGAAUUGGCC